rnacentral:rRNA from 1 species
CCUACGGGUGGCAGCAGUGAGGAAUAUUGGUCAAUGGGCGGGAGCCUGAACCAGCCAAGUCGCGUGAGGGAAGACGGUCCUAUGGAUUGUAAACCUCUUUAGGCGGGGAGCAAUGCCGGUCACGUGUGCCCGGAGGGAGAGUACCCGCAGAAUAAGCAUCGGCUAACUCCGUGCCAGCAGCCGCGGUAAUACGGGGGGUGCAAGCGUUGUCCGGAAUCAUUGGGCGUAAAGAGUUCGUAGGUGGCACGUUAAGUCUGGUGUUAAAGGCGGAAGCUCAACUUCCGUAGGGCACUGGAUACUGGCGAGCUUGAAUGCGGUAGAGGUAAAGGGAAUUCCUGGUGUAGCGGUGAAAUGCGUAGAUAUCAGGAGGAACAUCGGUGGCGUAAGCGCUUUACUGGGCCGUAAUUGACACUGAGGAACGAAAGCCGGGGUAGCAAAUGGGAUUAGAUACCCGGGUAGUC